rnacentral:rRNA from 1 species
GAUGAACGCUGGCGGCGUGCUUAACACAUGCAAGUCGAACGGAAAGGCCCAAGCUUGCUUGGGUACUCGAGUGGCGAACGGGUGAGUAACACGUGGGUGAUCUGCCCUGCACUUCGGGAUAAGCCUGGGAAACUGGGUCUAAUACCGGAUAGGACCACUUCUUGGAUGUUGUGGUGGAAAGUUUUUUCGGUGUGGGAUGAGCUCGCGGCCUAUCAGCUUGUUGGUGGGGUAAUGGCCUACCAAGGCGUCGACGGGUAGCCGGCCUGAGAGGGUGUACGGCCACAUUGGGACUGAGAUACGGCCCAGACUCCUACGGGAGGCAGCAGUGGGGAAUAUUGCACAAUGGGCGCAAGCCUGAUGCAGCGACGCCGCGGGGGGGAUGACGGCCUUCGGGUUGUAAACUCCUUUCGCUAGGGACGAAGCGUUUUGUGACGGUACCUGGAGAAGAAGCACCGGCUAACUACGUG